ensembl:miRNA
CAUAACACCCAGUUAAAUUUGAAUUUCAGAUAAACAGUAAAUAAUUUCGUAAUAUAAAUGUGUCCUAUGCAAUACUUGGGACAUAUUUAUGCUAAAAAAUAGCCACUAUUUAUCUGAAAUCCAAAUUUCACUGGAAGUUCUAUA